GGAGGGGCCGGGAGCGGCUCGUGGCCUGUGGCCACCAAAUAACGUUCCGGCUUUUCAGUCUCUUUCCGACUCCCACCCUCUGCUGCCCCUGCUGCACCCGCCCUCCCUGCUUUCCUCUUCCUCACACAUCCGCGUCCUCUGACUGCCCUGGGUGGGAAGGCUGCCCCCAAGCCCGGGUUGCUCCCGUCAGAGGCGAUCAAGGGCUCUUGGAGGUCCGACGCUCAGGCGGCCACUUCCCACCGGUGUGCGGGACGCCCUCUUAGGCCCCUGAGCGCUGUCCUCUCCUCCUGUUCUCAGUUCUGCCCUCUUCCCGUUUCUGGCCUCGGGAAUCAGGGGGCUUCCAGGCAGGCAGCGCUCAAGGGCCUCAGGCCUUGGAGUUGAGGGUCUCUUUCUAGUGACUGGAGCUCUAGGAAGGGCCCAAGGGCCCUGAACCACAUUUCCUACUGCUGUGGGCACCGUGGCCGAUCCUGGCUUUCACUGAGGGAAGCGACAAAAAAUGUUUUCCCAUAUUCAGAUACAGGAAACGGCACAUUGACCAGAAGUAAAGAAUCUCCAUGUUAAAAAUAAAGAUUCAAUGCCCCUCUUCUUGGGACUCCAACGCUAGUUCACCUUUGAUGAUAAGACUCCUUUCCCAGGUGCCAAGGCCACACUGUAUGUGCUGCACGUGUAUGUGCUGCAGCCCUGACUUGUUUAAUGUUCUUUGUUCUGACAAGAUAUAAAAGCCUGUGCUGUGCUGAAAACCCUGCUGGUUCAGGGCUAGUCCUUAGUUUGGCUCAAAUAAAACUCUUUUCUAUUCUUA